GCCAGACUCCUACGGGAGGCAGCAGUGGGGAAUAUUGCGCAAUGGGGGCAACCCUGACGCAGCAACGCCGCGUGAUUGAAGAAGGCCUUCGGGUUGUAAAGAUCUUUAAUCAGGGACGAAAAAUGACGGUACCUGAAGAAUAAGCUCCGGCUAACUACGUGCCAGCAGCCGCGGUAAUACGUAGGGGGCGAGCGUUAUCCGGAUUUACUGGGUGUAAAGGGAGCGUAGACGGUUAAUCAAGUCUGAAGUGAAAGCCCGCGGCUCAACUGCGGAACGGCUUUGGAAACUGAGUAACUGGAGUGCUGGAGGGGCAGGCGGAAUUCCUGGUGUAGCGGUGAAAUGCGUAGAUAUCAGGAGGAACACCGGUGGCGAAGGCGGCCUGCUGGACAGUAACUGACGUUGAGGCUCGAAAGCGUGGGGAGCAAACAGGAUUAGAUACCCCAGUAGA
rnacentral:rRNA from 1 species